rnacentral:rRNA from 1 species
AAAGGGGAGCAAUCCCUGAGUAAAGUGGCGACCGGGUGAGUAACACGUGACUAACCUACCUCCGAGUGGGGGAUAACAUCGGGAAACCGAUGCUAAUACCGCAUAACAUCGCAAGAUCAAAGCAGCAAUGCGCUGGAAGAGGGGGUCGCGGCUGAUUAGCUAGUUGGCGGGGUAAUGGCCCACCAAGGCGAAGAUCGGUAUCCGGCCUGAGAGGGCGCACGGACACACUGGAACUGAAACACGGUCCAGACUCCUACGGGAGGCAGCAGUGGGGAAUUUUGCGCAAUGGGGGAAACCCUGACGCAGCAACGCCGCGUGGAGGAUGAAGUCCCUUGGGACGUAAACUCCUUUCGACCAAGACGAUAAUGACGGUACUGGUGGAAGAAGCACCGGCUAACUCUGUGCCAGCAGCCGCGGUAAUACGGAGGGUGCAAGCGUUGUUCGGAAUUAUUGGGCGUAAAGGGCGCGUAGGCGGCGCGGUAAGUCACCUGUGAAAUCUCCGGGCUCAACUCGGAGCCUGCAGGCGAAACUGCCGUGCUGGAGUAUGGGAGAGGUGCGUGGAAUUCCCGGUGUAGCGGUGAAAUGCGUAGAUAUCGGGAGGAACACCUGUGGCGAAAGCGGCGCACUGGACCAUAACUGACGCUGAUGCGCGAAAGCUAGGGGAGCAAACAGGAUUAGAUACCCUGGUAGUCCUAGCCCUAAACGAUGAUUGCUUGGUGUAGCAGGUACCCAAUCCUGCUGUGCCGCAGCUAACGCGAUAAGCAAUCCGCCUGGGGAGUACGGUCGCAAGGCUGAAACUCA